rnacentral:lncRNA from 1 species
UGAAAUGCAAUCUCUAAAAUUAUCCAAUACAACAACCACUCCAUUUUAGAACGAACUUCGUACGAACCUGAAUUGUCCAAUUUCUUGGACCAAUCGAUAUCGGAUUGAGUCCAAAACUUGGGGAACAUCAUAAUAUGGUGGGAGAAGUCAUUUCUAGAGUUUUGAGUGAAAUCUAAUCUCUAAAACUAUGCAAUACACCAACCACUCCAUUUUAGAACGAACUUCAC